UACGUAGGGAGCGAGCGUUAUCCGGAAUUAUUGGGUGUAAAGCGUGUGUAGGCGGGAAAUUAAGUCUAAGGUCUAAGCCCGGAGCUCAACUCCGGAUCGCCUUAGAAACUGAUUUUCUUGAGUAUGGUAGAGGCAAAUGGAAUUUCUAGUGUAGCGGUAAAAUGCGUAGAUAUUAGAAGGAACACCAGUGGCGAAGGCGAUUUGCUGGGCCAAAACUGACGCUGAGACACGAAAGCGUGGGGAGCAAAUA
rnacentral:rRNA from 1 species